CGAACGACAAUGAACAGACUAGUAGGGUAGUAUUAGUUGUUAAGCGAGUCCCGCUGGAUGGGAAGGGACCUUCUAAAAUGCCUGAAUCACAUCUGUGAGUUGGCUCCCUGAAGCAACAGUAGGGGAGCCCGGGGAAGCCCGUUACAGCGCGGAGUUUAAUUUUGAACUCGCUAAGGUUGAUACUCGUGAGGGGUCAACAAGAUGAGGUGGAACCGCGGAAACGCCCUCGUAGCCAUUUGGCUCGGGGGCGUUUUUUGUUUAACGGCUUCAAAAUUGAACUUACCGAGGUGGCCGCUGCGAGGUGGCCGCGAACAUGGGGUGGUACCACGAUUGAUUCGUCCUCUAG
rnacentral:ncRNA from 1 species